AAGCGGUGGAGCAUGUGGUUUAAUUCGAUGCAACGCGAAGAACCUUACCUACUCUUGACAUCCAGCGAAUCCUUUAGAGAUAGAGGAGUGCCUUCGGGAGCGCUGAGACAGGUGCUGCAUGGCUGUCGUCAGCUCGUGUUGUGAAAUGUUGGGUUAAGUCCCGCAACGAGCGCAACCCUUAUCCUUGUUUGCCAGCGAGUA
rnacentral:rRNA from 1 species